AACAAAAAUAGAGAGGCUGGCAUUACUGUGAGCCAAGCUUCUUCCCAGCACGUGCUUGCAGGGAGGCUCUGGUUCAGGGUUGGCAGCCCUGUGCUGAAAGCUGCUCUGUAGCUGAGGCGGCAUAUGGACUGCUGACAGAGCAGCUGCUGGGGAAGAAGACGCUGAAAGGAAGCCUCUAGGGAUAAACAGAGAAACCCAUGGCACCACGUGGCACCCAAGGCAGAAUUCUCAUCCCCUUCACGGUGGAUCAGUUGCCUCAUUUGGGGAUCUGGACCUUCCAGACAUGUAUACAGAAACCAAGAGCCCAUUCAUCACAUUGAAAGCUGAUAGCUGACAGAGAUUCAAUCCCAUCUUGAAGCUGGAAACUUGGAGAGAAGCGA
rnacentral:lncRNA from 1 species